rnacentral:lncRNA from 1 species
GUCCUAUAUAAGUUAUAAAUAAAGUUGAAUUCUUUGCUUAGCUGUUUUACGUCAUGCCCACUAACAAAUUGAAAACUGUACCUAUACGCCUUAUUUUUAGUCCAGAUUUUUAGUAUUCGUAUUGUUAUCUUAGAAAGUGUUACUGAUUAAAAUACUACAAUAGGUAACAAUUUGACAAUUUAGUAGUGUCAACCCUGUGGUUAUGACCCGUGUAUAUAGCAUAUUAAUCCUGAAUACAACGUUUGGUGGUACGCCUGUCAGAUGCGGAACGUACAGAUAAGGUAAUAGGUAACAGGUAACUAUACUAUUGGUAUCGGUAGCGGACUCGACCCGGAACUUCUUAAUUAUUGGCAAUAUUAAUUACGUGGAAAACAAAAGGGCCUGGAGUGGUGUAAUUUUUAAUCUACACCUUUGUACUAUAUUAGUUAUAUAUAAAGUUGAAUUCUGUGAUUCGUCGUUUUUACGUGAUGACGGCUGACAAAUUGGA